CUUCUUUUUUUAAUUUUUAAAAAUGUUUAGUUAUUUUUGAGAGAGAGACAGAGCACGAGCAGGGGAAGGGGCAGAGAGAGAGGGAGACAAAGAAUCUGAAGCAGCCUCUAGGCUCUGAGCUGUCAGCCCAGAACCCGACACGGGGCUCGAACUCACAAACCGGGAGGUCAUGACCUGACUGAAGCUGGCCGCUUAACUAACUGAGCCACCCAGGUGCCCCUACACCUAACUCUUCUUAAAGCCUGCAGCGAGAGCAUGUACUCUGGGCUUUCAUUUGCAAAUGUAACCUCAAACGUAAGCUGUUUCCAUCUAUAGCUCUGUUUCAGGCAGAAAGAGUGAUUCUCUAAAGGGUAUAUCGUUCAUCUAUCCUUCUUAGAUUUGCAUUUCACAAAGUGCAAGGGAAUCACUGAAGAGCCCCUUAAAAGUGGUAAGGUCCUGGCCCGCUGUGCAUCUCUGAAAUCUGAAUCUCCGGUAUGGGCUGGAAAAACCUGCUGUAAACCAGCAGCAUGGCACCCUGCAUUGAGACCCUACGCCCUCCAUGGCUAAAUCUGCCUGGGCCCGAGCCAGAUCACAGGAGCAUUUUUACCAAAUUGUGGACUGCUAUGAGGGCCUCAGAGACCUUGGAAGAAGCAGUCGUGUAGAGAAAGCAUCCAGCUUUCAAGUCAUGGCUCAAGUCAUGUACCGCUAUCGUCCAAGUGCUCUGUCCUCCACCAUUAGUGACAGGCCCCUCGCAGGAGUGGGAGCGCUGGGAACUCUUAGCUCCCCUCUUUGGCCGAGAUCCCUCAUUGGAUCCCAGAAAUCUGCAGUCUCUCUUUUGUGUUAAUCAUUAAAUAGAAAUGCAUUAUUGCUGUAGUUACUGUAGGAAUAUUCUUCAGGAUGCUGUCCACUGUCGCUCAAGGCCUAGUGUCCCCUGGGAUAAUUAUCCUUAGGUCUGGCUGCUACCGAGAACUGUAACCUCUCAGGUAAUUAAUACUUGUUUUAUCUUCUGGGCAACGCGAACGUGGCAACUGCUCGUGUUUUCGGCUUUGCUUUGGCAACUGGACAAUAUAGCAUUAAACACACGGUUCACUUUAAUAACUGUGUAGGCCAUUAUGGCAUAUGUUUCCGUAUGCUGGCUUUCCUUGUUUUUGUCUCAUGAUGUCCCCCCACUUCUCCCUUUGCCAUGAUUUUUUAACCUUCGGGGUAAACUCUUUCAGUUGUUCAAUAUACAUGUGUUGAUUCCUUAAAUCCUUUAGGAAUGAAGAUAUCAAUUCAAUAAUAAAGGAAGACCAUUUAGUAGUCCCACCUUAUCCACAGGGGAUAAAUUCCAAGACCCCCUAGCAGAUUCCGGAAACUGCAUAUAGUACUGAACUCUAUAUAUACUGUUUUUUUUUUCCUAUGCAUACGUAUCUAUGAUAAAGCUUAAUUUAUAAGUGAGGCACAGUCAGAGAUGAACAGUCUCUCUCUGUCUCAGAAUAUCUUGUACCAUAUUCACCCUUCUUGGGAGGAUGUGAGAUGCUAACAUGCCUACAUGAGUAGAUGAAGUGAGGUGAAUGAUCUGGCAUCGUGAUAGAGUGUUAGGCUACUCUUGACCUUCUGAUGAUAUGUCAGAAGGAUCAUCUGCUCCUAGACCACGACUGGCCACAAGUACCUGAAACUGUAGAUAAAGAGGAACUAAUAUGGAAUACAAGACAUUAAAUUUUUGUUUUUGUUUUUCUACACAUAAAAUGCAUUUAAUAAAAAUCUGCUAGCAGAAUGAGUGGUGAAUUCUAUUAGGUGUGUAAAGAAAAUCUGGGCUUAGGCUAUUUUAGCAGAAGAUGUAAGAAUAAAAUCAAUGAAUAAUAGGAAGAAUAGCCAAUGGCAGUUGUGAGCUAUGUGCUGUGGACCUGACCUUACUUAAUCUUCACAAGAAAUAAAUGAGCUAUGUAUAACUAACACAGGUAAGGACAAUGAGCCGUAGACAGGGCAAUGACUUCCCCAGGUCACCAGAGCAGGAAUUUUUAAGGCAGCCUUCGAUUUAGUGAGUACAGGACUUUGGCUGGCUUCUGUCCUCUUUGUUGCCAGUGUUAAUUUGUCCCAAGUAACUUAAAUUUUAGCUGAGGUUGUCCUGUUCUCUGAGAUCAAGACAAGAUUGAUAUAAACUCUUGCUUCAUAUCCUGGAUGAAAUCCAGUGUCUCCCCCCAAAUCUCUGCAGCUUCCUGGAGGCUUUUAGUCCCACAGUCAAUUUCUGGCUCAAAGUUCCUGCUUUGAUGGAGUACUUGAACUUCCCCCCAUCUCUCCCCUUCAGCUAUUCUCUUCUCUCUGCUCUGUGCUGACCCAACGUGGAAUUUGGUUCCUUUGGCUGGUUUUCAUAAGCCCACUCUUCUGAUAUAAUUGUGUGUAGCAGAUUUUAGGAAGGUUUGGGGAGACAAAUAUACUAUUUAGAGACUUGGGGUUGGGGGAGACCAAUACUACUUACAGAUUCCAGAAUCCUAAAGCAUUUAAUGCUGAUCAUUUGGACACUCCCUCCUUUAAUGUUCUUUGGCUAUCUUGCUGUGGGGAAUUGCUCGUUGGCCAAUUUCUCCAACAGGUGCCAGGCUCGUGACUCAGUGCCUCUCCCUUCUCCCCACUCAGUGGCUACCCAGCCCCGACAGUUGGGGGGGCUUGAGGUAUGGGGGUGCAGAAGGUGUUCUAUGGUGUGUGAGCAAGGAGAGCUUUGAGGUGGCCCGUCUCUAGACCAUCAACUUGCAGACCAAUUGAUCGGCCUGAAAAGACCCCUGCGGUCUAGAUAUUUUUCCUCUUCUCUCCCUUCUCCCCUUCCCUCGUGACCCCCUUUCCUGCUUUACAGAGGAAUAGCAUACCUCUCACCCAUCCCAAAUUUCACUAUAGCACAUUGCUUUGGAGUGUUAAAACCUCUUCACGAAAGAAUCAUUUGAAAUAUUGAUGUGUGUCUAAGAACGUGAUAGACUCGAGCGAGUGGGUAGCUAUUCCUUUUUAGGUCUGUUGGCUUACGACGAAAUUGAAGGAGAACUUGAUUGAGUUGUCAGCUGAUAGAUCAUUUAAAAAUACAUUUUGCAGAUACAUAACUAUGCUAAUUUGGGGAAAUAUAACUCAGGGAGAACCCAACAGUUGAGUGAUGUUGCUGAACUAAAAUGCCUUCAUUACCACCUACUACUUAUUUAGGUGAGUCAGGCGUUUUCAGCAUUUUCAUCUAUAAAAAAGACAAGUCAAGGUGGCAUUAAUGCUAUGUCCUGUGUCAUUUUGGCACUAAGGAUAUAGGAAUUCAGAAAAAGAACUGUGCAAAAUCUAUUAAGAGAAACAUUUCCAAGUUUUCUCUUACUUUUCAUGUAACAUACAGGCAUACCCCGUAUUACUGCGUUUUGCUUUAUUGCUCUUUGCAGAUAUUGUGGUCUUUGCAAAUUAAAGGUUUGUGGCAACCAUGCGUUAAGCAGGUCUGUUGGCGCCAUUUUUCCAACCGCAUUUGCUCACACCAUGUCUCUGUGUCACGUUUGGGUAAUUCUCGCGGUGUUUCAAACUUUUCAGGAUUAUUAGAUUUUUGAUGAUGAUUAGUGAUUAUGACGAGCUGAAAGCUCAGAGCGUGGUUAGCUUUUUUUAGCAAUAAAGUGUUUUUAUUUAAAAAAUUUUUUUUAAAGUUUUUAUUUCUUUUGAGAGAGAAAGUGUGCAGGUCAAUGGGGGAGGGGGAGGGGGAGGGGGAGAAAGAGAAUCCCAAGCAGGCUGUGCGCUGUCAGCCUACAGCUUUACUCAGGGCUUGAUCUCCCAAACCGUGAGAUCACGACCUGAGCCAAAGUCAAGAGUUGGGCAUUUAACUGAUGGCCACCUUGUCAAAUAUUGCACCCCAGCAAUAAAGUAUUUUUUAAAUGAAUAUAUGUACAUUUUUUAAAGAUGUAAUGUUACUGCACACUUAAUAGGCUACAGUUUGCUAUAAACAUAAUUUUUAUAUGCACUGGGACACCGCAAAAUUUACUUGGCUCACUUUAUUGCUAUAUGUGUUUGUUUUUUUGUUAAAUGUAUAUAGAGAGAGUGUAAGCAGAGGAGAGGGGCAGAGGGAGAGAGAGGGAGAGCAGAGAGAGAGAGAGAAUCUUUAGCAUGCUCCACACUUAGUGUGGAGCCCAACAUGGGUUCAAUCCCACAACCCCGGGAUCAUGACCUGAGCCGAAAUCAAGAGUCAGACGCUUAACCGACUGAGCCACAUGGUAUGUGUUUUAUUGUGGUGUUAUGAUCAAACCUGUGGUGUCUCCAAGGUUUGAGAUCUUUUUCUUCAAUGGUGUCCUACUAAUAACUGUCAUGAUAAUUCAACCCGCACAUUUUUAACAAUUUAGAACUUUAGAUUCAUAGGGAAUAAGCAAAUCGACUUCAGAUUUUAAUAGGGUGAUCCAUAAGGCUUUCAAACAUGAAAUAUGAAUAAAAUGCUAUGGCAGAAGCGGACUAGCAAUCCAAGCUGAAGGAUAAAACAUAAACGAAAGCAAAGGAUAAGAUAAACAGAAGUGUAGGAAGAAAUAAUUCUAGUAUGUUCUUCCUGUAACUCAGUAGAUCCUUUUGCACAGGUCCCAGUGCAAAUGUGCCCAGACCACUUUGGAGGGUCCCUGUGUAAUUCAGGGGGCAGGGCGCUUCUCCUGUGUGCAAGAGGAUGGGAGGCAGGGGGAGGAUGAUUAAUGAUUAUACUCCUGCACGAGUCAUUGCCACGGGUUAGGUCCUCCGUGGACACUGACCUUAGAGUUAUUAGUUUGUUCUUUUUUCAGUGUAGUUACUUUUCACUGAAAAACAAAAAUGCUUUACAAAUACGAACCCAUAAAACCAAUCUUAUCUCUUCUUCCCAGAUGGUGCAAUAAAGACCUAAAAAUAUCAAGGAAGGUUUCUGAAAUAUUACGAGCAGUGGAAGAAAGAGGAAGAGGGUCCUUGGGUCCUCAUUCUAGGAUUAGUAGACGCCAUUUGUGGCUGCGGUGUGAGAAUUGCCUUUUGAAACAAGCCUGCUGAAGUCUGUCCCCGCCAGGCCUCCUGUACCCUUCACCUAGUGCCCCCAUACGUGUCAGAUAUGUCAAAAAUAGAGGGGAUUUUCAUCGAUUGUGUUGGCUCCUUCCUUCACCUCCUGGAACUCAUGUGAGGUGUGGGCGCCUGGAUACAAAGCAGACAUAGCAUAAUGGCUGUGUUCUUAGCCUGUGGCCUGCAAGGGAUCCCUGUGGCUGUGGAGACCCACAGGCCUGUCAUUGUAGCUGUCACCUGCACUCGUCACAUCCUUCAUUCUUCCUACUCCAAGGGGAUAUUCCCAUCAAGAGGAGGUACAAUGAGUACCCACGGUGACAAUGCAUGUGGACAACACGUUGCCAUCUGCCUGGGGUUGAGACUAUUGUAAUGCCUUGCAGCCAUCAUAAUAUCCAGACCCCUGCCCUGGUUUCUUCUGGAAACUGCAUAGGAAAUACAGGCAAGUCUUCGCUAACCCCAGGGCAUGAUGGCAUGGUAAUUUUUUGAAUAAAUCUUAAAAUAAUCUGCUUUCCUUAUGACCCAUGCUUUCCGCCCCAAAGUCAUAAGCUAUAAAAAAUUCGGCUGGGUUUAUGUUUCUGCUUAAUCAAGGUUUACUGUCUGCCUUAAACUUGGUGCCAAGUGACAUCCGGUAAUCAUUCUUUGUUUGGAGCAUCCCAGCAGCCGAGAAGUCAAAUCCAUCAUCAAGUGACAGUUGCACUCAAAUUCCAGAAGGGAGACAAUUCAUAAACCUCUCAUCUUUAUUUAUUUUUCCCUUACCCCCAUCAGGGAAUCCUCUAGCCUGAUGCUAUUAGUAGAUAGGGCAUGACCUCCCGUACAACUGUAAUAUUUCUUCACUUGGCGUGCUUGGCGAGAAGACUCUGGAAAAAUGGAUAUGGAGAGAACAGGAUAUAUAAUUCCUGCCUUCCUAGAAUAUGUCACAGUGAUAAGUGGAUGACGAAUGCUGAUGAGUAUCGACUACUUCCUCAAUCAAGCCCUGUGUUCUGGAGUGUGUGUGUGUGUGUGUGUGUGUGUGUGUCUGUUGCAGCUGCUGUCUGUAGUCUAUUACUAAACCAUCAAAAUGAUCACAAACAAUCCAAGAAGAAAUUGAAACGGCAUUAGAGGCAUUGUUUUAUCCAUCUACAGUAUUAACAGUGCGGUUUAGCAAAACCACUCCUGGAAUACAUUUUGCCUUAAUAAUGUAUGAGUGGCAGUAGCUGCAAAGAAUUUCUGGAAUCAGAGUCACAGAUGUGGACAUGUUUUUAUGAGUUGAAUUAUAACAAAAUAAUUGUCUUGACUGAAGGGUAGAUAGUGGAAGUGGGCUUCACUCGAUAAGCAUUCUUUUUGCUAUCAUCCAAAUCUGAAGACAAAAGCACCUGAAUCAAACACUUACUGCCUGGGUACUUUGGUCAGGUUGUUAACCCUCCUACUACCUUGAAACCUGCCUUAAGGGAUUUGGGGAUAAUAAAGCUGGAGAGGAAGGUGUGACAGGAGGAGAACACAGGCCUUGGAGUCUGACCCCCCAGUGUCACUUAUUGACCAAGUACCAUUGGAUAAACUGCCAAACUUCUCUGAGUCCCGUUUCCUCAUUUAAUGGAUGUGGAUAACAAUAUACUCCUCACAGAUUGUUAUGAGGAAUUAGCUGAAGAUAUUGCAAGGAGGAUGGUUGGAAUACAGUAGGUGCUCCUGGGCUGUAAAGUCUCUUUACAUUCUCCUUAUAAGCCUGAAGAAAUUGUUCUUUAUACAAGCCUCGGAUCAAAUGACCCAAAUCCAAUUGCUCGGCUCAAUGGAUAUUGAGUAAUAAAAACUGUUGUGAAAGUACUGUGUCAAUAUUAGUUAUUAUUAAUGACAAAAAUUUAAUGAUCAAGAGACUGACUCUCCCACUGUAAAAUCUCUAAAAUUGUAAAUCUCUCACUCUGAAUUUCUAAGACACAUGAAGCAAAUCUUCUCAGGCAUUGGACAAUGGGCAGCACUGCCUGGUGUCCAAUGUCUGAAAACUUGUUUCAUGUAUUUUGUUUGGUUUUCAGUUGUUCCAGAUGGGGUGAUAAGUCCAGUCCAUGUUGUCCCAUUAUGGCUAGAAGUGGAGGCCUGACAGUGGUCUGUAAUGAACUGAAGAUAUACCUAGUAAGAAAAUAAGAAGAGGCAUAGCUGAAAAGCCCAUAUAAGAAACAAAAUGGAAUAUUAAAAAUUAUUUGAUUAGCACAAAGGAAAGCAGAAAAGGAGGAAUAAAAACAACAAAAUCAUACGGACUGUUAGAAAAUAAAUAACAAGAUGAUAGGUUAAAACCCAACUACAUCAAUAAUUACAUUAAAUGUAAAUGGACCAAACAUUUCACUUAAUGAGAAUGGAUGAAAGUCAAAAUUAUGGUAGAUAUGAAGUUGCUCUACCAGACCCUCUUCAAAGAAGAACUUGCCCAGGCUGUCAGAAGUGAGCCUUUAUCUGCUAAGUCCUUCACGUUUGCCACAUAUGCAGAGAACUGCCUCACUCAGAGCAUGACCUUCUUAAUGUGGUUCACACCUGACUACUAUUGAGGCAGAGACAUAAAGACCUGGCCCUUUCAGCCCAAUGUGGGACAACUCGGACAAGCUGUAUAUACACCAGUGUUCCAGGUCAAGUGGGCUGAGGCUCUGUCAAGACUUCAGUGCAGUUUGGCUUUUCCCUCUGUUCCAUCCUGCCUACUCCCCCUCCUUUCCACAGUUGCUGAUUCCAAUAUAUACUCUGCACAGAAACCUCCGGCUCUGCAUCGCUUUUGGAGAACCCAACCUAUGACAAAGGCCCAAUUAUAUGCCAUACAUAGAGAUUUUCAAUGUAAAGACAGACUGAAUAAAAGAAUAAGAAAAAAUAUAUACUGUGCAAACAGUAGACUUAAGAAAACUGAUGUUACUAAAGAAAAAGAGAGCCGUUUUAAAUGAUUACAGUAUAAAUUCAAUAGGAAAUCACAAAAAUCCUAAAUGUGUAGGUACCUAAUAAUAAAAUUUCAAAAUAUAUGAAGAAAACUGAUGUAAAUAAAGGAAGAUAUAGAUAUAUCCAUAGUCAUAACUGGAGGGUUUAUAUGACCUUCUGGAAGUAGAAAAAAAUCAGUAGGAAAUUAAAAGCUUUGAAAGGAAUAUCAAAUGACCCAAUUUUCAUUUACAGAAUACUAUAAGCAACAAUG